rnacentral:rRNA from 1 species
GUCCACGCCGUAACGAUGGAUACUAGCUGUUGGGGCAACUUCAGUGGCUAAGCGAAAGUGAUAAGUAUCCCACCUGGGGAGUACGAACGCAAGUUUGAAACUCAAAGGAAUUGACGGGGCCCGCACAAGCGGUGGAGCAUGUGGUUUAAUUCGAUGAUACGCGAGGAACCUUACCAAGGCUUAAAUGUAGAUUGACAGUACAGGAAACUGUUUUCUUCGGACAAUUUACAAGGUGCUGCAUGGUUGUCGU